GUUAAGUAUACGAACAUCACAAAUUCAAACAUCACAAAAAAUAUUUACAUAAACAAUAUUCAAAAGAAUAGUUAUAUACUUAAUAUUUCAAAAUCAAAGAUAUUUUUGCUAAAAUUGUACUUACCUGGCCAAGGAGAUCGAUCAUCUUUUUACGGAUCAAUCGAUUGUUGAGCAUGUGGUCGAUCCAAAAAUAUUCUGCAGUUUAAUUAAAUAUUUAAAGCAUUUAUUCCAACACUCAACAUAUAGUUUUGCUAAAUAUGAUAACUAGACAGCCAACAAAAUUAUAAAAAAAUAUUUAAAUAGUAAAAAAUAUGUUAAUUUAACGUGUUAAAAUUUAAAAACAAAUUUUAAUUAUGACAUG
rnacentral:lncRNA from 1 species